GAUGAACGCUGGCGGCGUGCCUAAUACAUGCAAGUCGAGCGAACAGACGAGGAGCUUGCUCCUUCGACGUUAGCGGCGGACGGGUGAGUAACACGUAGGUAACCUACCUAUAAGACUGGGAUAACUUCGGGAAACCGGAGCUAAUACCGGAUAAUAUUUCGAACCGCAUGGUUCGAUAGUGAAAGAUGGCUUUGCUAUCACUUAUAGAUGGACCUGCGCCGUAUUAGCUAGUUGGUAAGGUAACGGCUUACCAAGGCAACGAUACGUAGCCGACCUGAGAGGGUGAUCGGCCACACUGGAACUGAGACACGGUCCAGACUCCUACGGGAGGCAGCAGUAGGGAAUCUUCCGCAAUGGGCGAUAGCCUGACGGUGCAACGCCGCGUGAGUGAUGAAGGUCUUCGGAUCGUAAAACUCUGUUAUUAGGGAAGAACAAACGUGUAAGUAACUGUGCACGUCUUGACGGUACCUAAUCAGAAAGCCACGGCUAACUACGUG
rnacentral:rRNA from 1 species